rnacentral:rRNA from 1 species
GACGAACGCUGGCGGCGUGCUUAACACAUGCAAGUCGAACGGAAAGGCCCCCUUGUGGGGUACUCGAAUGGCGAACGGGUGAGUAACACGUGAGUAACCUACCCUUGACUUUGGGAUAACUUCAGGAAACUGGGGCUAAUACCGGAUAGGAGCUCCUGCUGCAUGGUGGGGGUUGGAAAGUUUCGGCGGUUGGGGAUGGACUCGCGGCUUAUCAGCUUGUUGGUGGGGUAGUGGCUCACCAAGGCUUUGACGGGUAGCCGGCCUGAGAGGGUGACCGGCCACAUUGGGACUGAGAUACGGCCCAGACUCCUACGGGAGGCAGCAGUGGGGAAUAUUGCACAAUGGGCGGAAGCCUGAUGCAGCAACGCCGCGUGCGGGAUGACGGCCUUCGGGUUGUAAACCGCUUUCGCCUGUGACGAAGCGUGAGUGACGGUAAUGGGUAAAGAAGCACCGGCUAACUACGUG